rnacentral:rRNA from 1 species
UACAGAGGGUGCGAGCGUUUGUCCGGAAUUAUUGGGCGUAAAGGGCGCGUAGGCGGUGUGGUAAGUCUGAUGUGAAAACUCCAGGCUCAACUUGGAGAUUGCAUCAGAAACUGCCGUGCUAGAGUGUGGGAGAGGAGAGUGGAAUUCCUGGUGUAGCGGUGAAAUGCGUAGAUAUCAGGAGGAACACCAGUGGCGAAGGCGGCUCACUGGACCGGUACUGACGCUGGAGGCGCGAAAGCGUGGGGAGCAAACGGG